AACGCGAAGAACCUUACCUGGACUUGACAUCCCCUGAAUUACUGGUAAUGCAGGAAGCCCUUCGGGGCAGGGAGACAGGUGGUGCAUGGUUGUUGUCAGCUCGUGUCGUGAGAUGUUAGGUUAAGUCCUGCAACGAGCGCAACCCCUGUUGUUAGUUGCUAACAGUAAGAUGAGCACUCUAACAAGACUGCCGCGGUUAACGCGGAGGAAGGUGGGGAUGACGUCAAAUCAUCAUGCCCCUUAUGUCCAGGGCAACACACGUGCUACAAUGGGUAGGAACAACGAGAAGCAAGACCGCAAGGUGGAGCAAACCUCAAAAACUACUCUCAGUUCGGAUUGCAGGCUGAAACUCGCCUGCAUGAAGCUGGAGUUGCUAGUAAUCGCGAAUCAGCAUGUCGCGG
rnacentral:rRNA from 1 species